GUUGGGACAGCUCAGCCAGUAGAGCAUGAGACUCUUAAUCUCAGGGUCAUGGGUUUGAGCCCAUGUUUGGGUG